GGGCUAAUCUUGGGUAGCGACUAUGAUUGUAGAUCCAUGACAAAGUGCUAAAGGAAAAUGAGGAUGAUGUUGUCAACACAAAUGUAGAGAAGUUCAAUGUCCACAAAUAUGCAUGUUUGUGGUAGUUUAGUCAAAGAACUUUGAUUUUGAACUUAUGUUGAAUUUGCACUAGGAAGUGUAAUGUCAUUGGAGAAUGUAUGAAUUAGUGACUCA
rnacentral:lncRNA from 1 species